AUAAAAUGUUAGUAAUCAGUUUAUCAACUAUUAAUUAACGGUAUAUCAAAUUUUGAUAGAUUCGAAAAGAUAUAGUCCACAUUAAGGAAAAAAAUGAUUAUGUAUAGUAAUAUAUAGUUAUAAUAGUGUGGAAUUAUAUUAUAUUACAUCGUAUAAAUUACGACUAUAAAACGUAGCUGAUAAAAAUCCAUGUAUAAUGUAUAAAUUUAAUUAUAUUAAGUUGAUAUAUCUUUAUUUAUAAUUCGAUGUCGAUGUCCCGUUUGAUUAUUUGUUCUAUUCGUUCAUCUGACUGUCAAUUGCCAUAACCUCAAAGAUGAAAAUGAGAGAAUGAAAGGAGUACUGUCAACGGCAAUACGUGAUGCAUGUAUUCUAAUUGCUGAUGGACCUGAUGCACUAGAAUAUUGUCUAGUUGUUUAAUGUCGUCAUUGGCUACUAAAUAAAAAAGACAUUUCCUUGGUCUUUGAGUACCAGCAACAUGACACUUUUCGAGCAGAGAUCUGGCACAAGAUAUUACGUUAGUAUCUCCAACUAAUUUCUGCUCCAAGAUCAGCCCACGAAACUGUAUCAACAUGUCUUAAGCAAGAUGUUUUCAAUAUUCUUGCAGAAUUUUUAAACUACAAUAUAACACUAAGUUCUUUUUAUAAGUCGUACACAAGACUUGUAAUGUGAAACUUUAUAUCUGUGUCUGCAGCAAUAUUCAUAGUAAUAUAAAGAAGUCGACAGCCAGUGUACUGGUGACCAGGUUCGGGCAAGAUUGCUAGAAGAUUGUCUUGUGUACGUUAUCUUGGGUGUCCAUGUGGUAUCUAUUAAAAAAUUAUUGUGAUCAGUAUCAAUCAGCAACUUGUGACAGGAAACUUUGUUGCCGGUGGUUCUACUGAAAAUUUUUAUUUUUCAUCUUAAUGCUGGUGACUUAUAAUUUUAAAAAAUAAAUAUCCAUUAUUUUUAAAAUUGAUGAGUGGGGCAGUAGAAGAGUACAGCGAUUUAUUAUUUUUAAUCUUCUCAGCUGAUGCUAGAGCAUUAAACUAUUGAGAUAAUUAUCUCAAAAAGAAAAUACAGAUUUUUAUAAGAUAUCGACUGGAAUCAUUUUACAAUAUACAUUUUAUUAAUUUAAAAUUAAUUUGGAUACUUGAGUUAAAUAUUAUAACAGGGUUAAAUAUUAUCUAGACAAAAAAUAUUAACGUGAGACAAGAGCACACUAAUCAUUGAUUCGAUAGAGAACGAGGUUGAAAUUUAAAUUAUUUUUCCUAUAUUAGCAUAGCAACUAUUACUAUGUAGACAUUAGAACUUUUCCUAUAUCAACAUAGAGAAAUUCUUUAUAGAAAUAUAUGAAAGAAUAUUAUGUUACACGGAGAAAAAUGGAAACAAAAAAUGUACGAAUUUUUAUUAUGCUGUCAACCAAACUUUAAACAGGAAGUUGUGGCGUCAAAAAAUUAUUAUGCUGCACUAUAAUUAUUAUUGUGAGACUCUAAAAAUUUUUUAUCUUCUACUAUAAUUCCCAAUUUAUAAAAAUAAUAUUAAUUAUAUAUAAUUUGUCAAUAAUUUUUAAGUGUAUAAUAUUUUUUGUAGUGUGACAUAACAAUUGUUUGGCAACUCAACUACCUGUUUCAAGUAUAACAAAAAUUCGUAGAUUUCGUAGGUCCAUUUAUCUCCGUUUACAUGAGAAUUUUUCCUAUAAUAAAUAGAAAAUAAGAAUAAAUAGAAUAGUUAACACUAAAAUUUUUCCGAUUUCAAACAUAGGAAUUAUUGCUAUGUUAACAUAGGAAAAAUUCUUAUGUAAAAAAAAGUUAUAAAAGAAUAAGAUUUUCUUUUUAUUUUCUAUAUAGUUGAGGCAAUUGUAUUUUUUAGUAACAAAAUAGCUAAACAAAAAUACGUAUACGAGAUAGAUUAUGGAUGAGACAAAUCAUGUACUUUUAGAUUACUGAAAUAAUCGGUAAUAUGGUGAUCAAACCUAUUACUAUUAGCCUAUGUUAUCCCUGGCGGUUUUGAAUCACCCUGGAAACAGCCUGGAAACAUCCUGGGAGUGGAAACACGGUGCAAUCACGGUGGAUCCAGGGUGGUAACACGGUGGGUUUGUGCCAUUUUAUCACCGUGUAUACACCGUGGAAUCAGGGUGGGUACACCGUGUAACCACCCCGGAAUCAGGGUGGGUACAUCGUGUAACCACCGUGAUUCCACCCUGAUUCCAGGGUGAUUCAAAACCGCCAGGGACAAGGGAAUUAUUUCUAUGGUAAAAUUUAAAUUUGCCUAUGUUACAUAGUAAAAAUUAUUAUGCUAACAAAGGAAAUAUUGCUAUGUAACAUAGAAAAAUUAUGUACUUAUUUUUUUUCUCUGUGUAUUUUACAAACUAUUUUAUCGAAAUUUUCAAGUGUUCAAAACUGGCCCCAAAGUGGCUAAAAACAGUAAAUUUACGUUAUGAACCAUUACCAUAUAUAACUUCAAUAAUUCAGAUACACAUUAAAUAAAAUUUAAUCUCAACUUGUAAAUUUUUAAAACACAAAUUUUUUUAAAAUUCAUUAUUUCAAUUAACUUUAUAAGAUAUCAGAAUCUCAUAAAUUUAUAGUAGACCGUAUUGAUAAAUUGAAUAUAGAAACGAAAUAGAAAAUUUAAAAGAUGGUUAGUCUUAAAGGUCUCAUCAUUUACAAGUCGUUAAUUUUAACGGAAACGUGUAAAUUUUAUCAAUACCUUUUUUUAUUUUUUUUUUUUUUUCUUUAAUAAUUAAUUUCAAAUUUUAUAAAAAUACGAUAAAAUUUACAGUACAUAGUAACUCUGUAUUAACCCUUUCCCGAAAGUUUGAAUCGUGUGAGUAACAGUUUAAUCGUAGUAGUGCAUGCAUGCGUCCCCUUCUACUAUUUUUUCUGCCCCUUCUCUUCUCAACAGGCUGACGCUCUCUCGCUUUAAGACGAAGACGUACGAUUCAAAUUGAGAGUAGGGACUCAAGGUCAACCGGGAAAGGGUUAAAUUUACAUUAUCUGUAAAAAAAAUCAUCAUGAAUUUUUUUUGACACUAAUCUUCACAUCUUUGAUCCUGUGACAACAUUAUUCCGAAAUUAAGUAAAAUAACUAUAUGAAUAAUUUUUUUACUCUUUAUGAAGACACUGGAAAGGUUGGGGCUUCUCUGUGGCCAGAAGCUCUGAGGUUCUUAUACCUGCUAGUAUAGUCAGUCAUGACCAUUCUUCAACAUCAUUUUAAAUAUCUGAUAUAUUUUCCCUCUCAACAUAAAACUAUAAAUUCUACCUGAGGCAAACGUAAAUCCGACAACGCCGCAGUGAACUCAAUGAUUCAUUAAAUCUCUUCUUACUGACAAAUAAACUCCAGCGUUGCCACUUUUUCCUUUGCCAGAUGUUCAAGUGACAAACUGAUUGUAAGCUAUUUAAAUUAUCUACUUUUAAAAAACCUCAAGGAACUUUAUCGAAACAUUUAUUUAAUUUAAAUUUUAUUAAUUUACUAAAUUUAUUUGUUUAGAUUCUAAGACCCAGAGAAAAUAUUAUUUUUAGCGGAAAUCAAAAAAAUUUUUUUUAAAUAUUUAAAACAAAUUACUUACUAUUUUUUUUAUUAUUAUUUCGUUCAUGUCUCUU